rnacentral:rRNA from 1 species
UACGAAGGGGGCUAGCGUUGUUCGGAAUUACUGGGCGUAAAGGGCGCGUAGGCGGUGUGUCAAGUCAGGCGUGAAAGCCCUCGGCUUAACCGAGGAAGUGCAUUCGAUACUGCAGAACUAGAGUACCGGAGAGGGUCGUGGAAUUCCUGGUGUAGAGGUGAAAUUCGUAGAUAUCAGGAGGAACACCGGCGGCGAAGGCGGCGACCUGGACGGAUACUGACGCUCAGAUGCGAAAGCGUGGGUAGCAAACAGG